CACUCCUGCGGGAGGCAGCAGUGGGGAAUAUUGCACAAUGGGCGCAAGCCUGAUGCAGCCAUGCCGCGUGUAUGAAGAAGGCCUUCGGGUUGUAAAGUACUUUCAGCGGGGAGGAAGGCGAUAAGGUUAAUAACCUUGUUGAUUGACGUUACCCGCAGAAGAAGCACCGGCUAACUCCGUGCCAGCAGCCGCGGUAAUACGGAGGGUGCAAGCGUUAAUCGGAAUUACUGGGCGUAAAGCGCACGCAGGCGGUCUGUCAAGUCGGAUGUGAAAUCCCCGGGCUCAACCUGGGAACUGCAUUCGAAACUGGCAGGCUAGAGUCUUGUAGAGGGGGGUAGAAUUCCAGGUGUAGCGGUGAAAUGCGUAGAGAUCUGGAGGAAUACCGGUGGCGAAGGCGGCCCCCUGGACAAAGACUGACGCUCAGGUGCGAAAGCGUGGGGAGCAAACAGGAUUAGAAACCCCUGUAGUCCCAUGA
rnacentral:rRNA from 1 species